ensembl:lncRNA
CAAGGUUUUGGUUCUACUUUUUUAACUGCUCAUUUGCUGAUGAUGACUGCAAUACACUGGAGAACUGUCUGCUUAAUGCUUCCUUGAAUGAAAAACCAGGGAGCAAUUUUGACAUGGUCAUGACUGAGUUUGCCUAUAAUAUAUACAAUGCAGUGUAUGCCGUGGCCCACAGCCUUCACAAGAUGCUUCUUCAUAAAGUAGAAGUAAGACAAGUAAGAAAGGCAGAAGACCUGACAUUUUCAGCCUGGCAGACUCCCAGGUCUGUAUGCAGUGAAAGUUGUGGCCCUGGAUUCAGAAAAUCCCUCCUAGAAGGAAAAAGGAUCUGUUGUUUUGACUGCAUUCCAUGCCCAGAGAAUGAAAUUUCCAAUGAGACAGCAGAAAGUAAGUUUUUUGACAUCAGCUUGAUCAAGUCUUCCCAAGAGGACUUCAGCUCAGGAACCCGGUUGUCACUGAAACUUGAUGAAAUCAUAGCACCUGGGAUUGGAGAUGAUGAG